ACUGCAAACAUGAAGAGAUUGUUGGGGUGGUCUGUCAAGAGGGACUUUGAAACUACAUUGCCAAGAGAUGGAGCAAGCCAAUGCCAAAGGCAAAAGAGGACUAGUGGUAUAGAGGGUCCCAGAGGGAGCAAAGGAAGACUGCCACAUAAAGCAGUAGGCCUCGGCAACCAGGGACAGUAGUUGCAGUGGAACCAAGCACUCACUGUCCUGGAAGAAACUUUGGGGUACUGAUCAGGAGAAGUUGACCUUCCUCCUGCCUGCUGUGACUGACCUUUGCCAACACCAAAUAACCCAAAGAUCUAGGAAAUUCCCAAAUGGAUGGAUCUGCUGAGUGUCAAAGACAGCAAACACCAGGCAUCACUACCCAAAGAUGCAAUUUCCAAAGAAAAGGAGGCUGUAACCUCACUCCAACCAGACACUAUUAUCCAGGAGCACAAAAAUGAUCUUAGUAGCCGAUCUCACUGUGUCCCUGGAGGACAGACUAGCCA